rnacentral:rRNA from 1 species
GAUGUUGGCUUAGAAGCAGCCACUCAUUCAAAGAGUGCGUAAUAGCUCACUGGUCGAGUGAUCCUGCGCCGAAGAUUUCCGGGGCUAAAACUUACUACCGAAGCUACGGCAUCAGUAAUGAUGGGGAGGGGAGCUUCCCAUACGGGUUGAAGCAUGACCGUAAGGACAUGUGGACAGUAUGGGAGUGAGAAUGUUGGCAUGAGUAGCGAGAUG